AUGGGCUUGGCCUCAGGGGACAGAAGCUGUGAGAAAAGGGUGAAUAAUGCCCCAGUGGAGCCAACUGGCCCGGUGAGGCUGCAGCCAGCCCACCUUCAGAUGGGGGUUCCUUGGCUGCAGCAGGAGCCCCAUCUCCUUAUGGUCCCUGGACUGCAUGAUGUUGGCCCCAGAGUGGAAGCUCCUCUGAGCUCCUUAUACAAACCACGCACAGGCAAUGCACCCUUUGCUGUAGGUGUCGCAAAGGAGGGUCUGCCGGAAUCUGCUCCAGAGCCGUCUCCCUGAGCUCACCCCAGGCUUUCUCCACCUGCUGGCUUCUGCCUCUCUCCCUCCUGCCCUGCCUUCUCUUCCUCUCCUCUCUUUUCAGGAGCAAGACAUCAACAUUUUGCCUUCUGCCUCCCGCAGCGUACCUCAUUUUUUUGAACCAAGCCAGGCUCUUCCCGGGAUUGUAGUGAAUGCGAGUUUGCUUCAUCUAGUUGCAUCCACGGGUCUGUGUGAUAUUUCAGGGCUGGUACCAUGUCCCUGCGCACUGUUGUAUCCCCAGCCCCCAGCCCAGUAUUUGGCCCCCACUAGGCAUUUGGUAAAUAUGUAGCAAGUAAAAAUGAGUGGGACGGGGCUACCGAGGAAGGGGACUGAGAAAGUUGCUUUCUGUGGCUGUCUGGGGCCUCUUGCUCUUGGAGGUCAGUUCUGUGGCAGAGGGACUAAUUCAGGACGAGGCUGAAGCUGAUGUGUGUCCGUCUCAGGCCCCAGAAACGACACAGUGCUAACACAUUCUUGGCUCCUCCGAGGGCCGUGUGAACAGUAACACUCGGGGGUCCUUCUUUAGGGUCUAACACAUCGGCCUGUCCUGAGGGGUACAAAGGGCAACAAAGAAACAGGGCAGGGGCUCCCAGGACAGGCUUCCCAUCAGACUCCCUGGGACUUUACUCCCCGUAAAGUAUUUAACCACCAGAGCCACCUGGGCCUCACACCUCCUUCCCAAGACCUGAUUCAAAUGUCUGAUGUGGGACGUGGUGAUUGAUUUAUUAAAAGUCCUAGGUGAUUCCAAUAUACCUCCCUGACACAGAGAAAAGAACUGUGUUUCUUUUUUUGUUUUUAAACUAAUCUGUCUGUAAUGCCUGUGAGGUUUCCACAUCGGGCCCCCUGAGGAGCAGGCUGUCGGUAGGCCGGUGGUUCAGGGUGAGGGCCUGGCCAGAUGGGAGAGAGGAAGGGACGUGGGCUUUGCAGGCAUUGGAGAACUUGGGUUUGAACCCUGUCCUCCAGCAUCCCAGCUCUGUGGCCUUGG
ensembl:lncRNA